rnacentral:rRNA from 1 species
GUAAGGAAUAUUGGACAAUGGGCGAAAGCCUGAUCCAGCUAUCCCGCGUGCAGGAUGACGGCCCUAUGGGUUGUAAACUGCUUUUAGUAGGGAAGAAACCCCUCGAUUUAUCGGGGGCUGACGGUACCUACAGAAUAAGCACCGGCUAACUCCGUGCCAGCAGCCGCGGUAAUACGGAGGGUGCAAGCGUUAUCCGGAAUCACUGGGUUUAAAGGGUGCGUAGGUGGCUUGGUAAGUCAGUGGUGAAAGCCCACCGCUUAACGGUGGAAUUGCCAUUGAUACUGCCAGGCUUGAAUAAGGCUGAGGUCGGCGGAAUGUGUCAUGUAGCGGUGAAAUGCAUAGAUAUGACAUAGAACACCAAUUGCGAAGGCAGCUGGCUAGACCUUUAUUGACACUGAGGCACGAAAGCGUGGGGAGCGAACAGGAUUAGAAACCCUAGUAGUCC